GUAGGGCGCGAGCGUUGUCCGGAAUUAUUGGGCGUAAAGAGCUCGUAGGCGGCUUGUCACGUCGGUUGUGAAAGCCCGGGGCUUAACCCCGGGUCUGCAGUCGAUACGGGCAGGCUAGAGUUCGGUAGGGGAGAUCGGAAUUCCUGGUGUAGCGGUGAAAUGCGCAGAUAUCAGGAGGAACACCGGUGGCGAAGGCGGAUCUCUGGGCCGAUACUGACGCUGAGGAGCGAAAGCGUGGGGAGCGAACAGGAUUAGAUACCCUGGUAGUCCACGCCGUAAACGGUGGGCACUAGGUGUGGGCGACAUUCCACGUCGUCCGUGCCGCAGCUAACGCAUUAAGUGCCCCGCCUGGGGAGUACGGCCGCAAGGCUAAA
rnacentral:rRNA from 1 species